ACUGAUAUGAUCGAAUUGAUGAACUAUGUAUGAAAUUCAAAAAAGAUUGAAGUGAACAAAUUUGUCCCAAACAUCUUUAUAAAGAGAUUUCCUUUAUAAAUGAAAAAAAAAUUUCAAACGAAAACGUGGAAACAUUAUUAACCACCCACUUAUUCAAUAAAAUAAAAUAAACAAAACAUUGUCGGAUUCGCCGGUUUAUGUUACCUUAUUUGCUAUAUAAAGCCAUUAAUCCUUCAUUCUCUUCAUGCAUCUCUUCUUUUCUCAUCUCUCUUCUAUUCUUUCUUUUGUCACAUAAACUAUUUCUUAUAUAUGGUGCCUCAAAGCAAUCUAUAUUCAUCUAGGGUUUAGUUUGAUGAUUUAAGUUGGCUCUAGCCUACACAGAGGAAGAUCCUUGCAUCAAGAAUGAAAACAUGGGCUAUCGAAAUAGAUAUUUUGGUUUUAUGCUAUAUAAUUCAGUCGUGACCUCCCUGAACAUCUUCGAGCCAAAUCUAUGAAGAUUUAAUCCUAUUCGUUGUAAUGAGUUGGUAUGUACUGAAAGAGUUUCACUACUAGAAGCAAUAACAGUAUUCAAGAUAAGGUUUUACUUGUUCAUUCAUCAAACAUAUUUGUUUCUUUCUCUUUCGUCUAAAUUAUUAUCUAUUUUAGCUUGCGCUCAAGUGAAGUUGACUUGCAAAUAGUUUAUAAGCUAUCACAAGUAACAAUGCAAUUUCUAGUUCAGAGAUCUUGAUCCAUAAUAUCAGAUAGUAAGAAACGACUAAGAAGGUGAUACGAAAUAUUUAACAUGAUUACCAAAAAAAAAAAUUGAUACGAAAUAUUCAAAAAGAUAUAUUAUCUAUUUACUCGUGUAAAAAGAAUAUAUCUCUUUACUUAGUGUUUAAAUAAUUAGGGUUUUGACAUUAUACCCUAAGAUGGGCUGUAAAGUAUCAAGAAAGAGAUAUAAAAAGAUCCAAGUGUUCAACGACAACAUCACCUCGGGUCUUGAUCUCUCCCCCUGCAACAAGUUACUAGAUAUGUCUUCUUCAUGGUAGGAAAAAUGCAAUUUAAUGACUGAAAUACCCUCAGUUACGGCAUUCUUUAAAGGGGCAAGAUCGUACAUUAGGACCGACAAAUGACGAGUUCCAUCAUCAUAUGCAUGAUCUACAAUUUAACUUCGUGUAUUUUCUCCAUUGCAAUUAACAAAUUUUAGUUAUUUUGUGGAAAUAAUAUUUCUCAAAUAUUGGGGGUUAUUGUGUUUAUCCUACAAAUAGAAAAUAAAAAUGAUCAUUUAAUCUAA